rnacentral:rRNA from 1 species
UACGUAGGGGGCAAGCGUUGUCCGGAAUUACUGGGCGUAAAGCGUGCGUAGGCGGUUUGUUAAGUCCGCUGUGAAAGCCCUGGGCUCAACCUGGGAAUUGCAGUGGAUACUGGCAGCUAGAGUGCGGUAGAGGAUGGUGGAAUUCCCGGUGUAGCGGUGAAAUGCGUAGAGAUCGGGAGGAACACCCGUGGCGAAGGCGGCCAUCUGGACCAGCACUGACGCUGAGGCACGA